UGGACUUGGGCCUCUCUCAUUUGAGCCCACAGGUCCACAAAAACCAGGUUAUAAAUUCAGAGUUUCAGUGAAACAAAAGGACAUUCCAUUCCUAUUACCCUGGCAGGAAAAAGAAAGUGAGAGAAGAGCUAACAGAGUUCAGAGCAACCUCCAGAGGCUGAAGGGAACUCAUCGGCAAAGAACCAAUUCCCUCUCAUAUAAACCC
rnacentral:lncRNA from 1 species